UGCCACUGCACGAAUUGGCGCUGUACGGACCUCGAAAAAAGCUUCGGAAUGUUGCCGCAAGAGGCUCUGCUGUCGCGCGAAUGAUUCUUGCCGGAAUUUACAUUGCUUCUUAUGGAAAAAGCGGCACGAAUCAUCCACGCCUAUAUUUAAUAUCGAAACAUAAAACAGAGAAUCGUUUAUAACUAACUAAUAACAACUCGAGUAUGCGAAAAAUGAUUAAAGACAGUUUGGCAGAGAUUACUUCUGAAUUUUCUGUACCCUCAGAAUACUUUUUAGCCGCACGUUUCCCUGAAAGCAUCAACGACGAUAGAAUUCCGAAAAUCAUUCCAGCGAAAUUCAUUUGAAAAUAUCAAAUUACGAUGAUCAGCGGUGAAACGGUAUCGAAACGAAAUCGAGAAUCGUUAUAAAUAUUCGAACGAUCCGUCGUUCGGGUAUUAUUAUUUCGUUGUGAACGCUUCAGAAUGCUUCGAAUUUGUAAGCAUAAGGCGUUUGUAUUCAAACGGGAAACUGUAUUCCAUUUUUGAGGGAAAAAUUCCAAAAAUUCCUACGGGCAUAUUAUACAAUUUGAUAGACAUAAAGGAGGAGGACUGGUCGUGGUUGACUUUAUCAUUAAGCGUGGCGUAUACUAUAAUUAUGAAUUGACCAAAAUUGAUUUUGAAUCGCUUGUUAAAAUAGAGCAACUCUACGGUAGUCCGUAUGGCAGAAUGGAAGGCACGACAAUAAGUACGUUAUAGUGGAGUCCUGUUUAAUUGGAAAGUUGCCUUAAAAAACCUCCUGGGCAAGCACCGAUAUUCUUCCAGCGGUGAGAACAGUGUGUAUACGAUGUUAUUGGUUUCACGAUGAUUAAAACGAUCGAUAAGAUACUAAACGACUCGUGGACGUUGAUCCAUUGGCACACACGCAUACGCAUACACACACGAGAGCAUUACUCACGGUGGAAUUUCGAUUUUAGGAAAACGGUUUGUAAAUACAGUCGAUUGUAUAAUACGCCGGUAUCUAAUGGCAAUGUCAAUGAUAGUUUGCUGUAAUAUUUUUUUGGGAGUGUGUAAUUAACCGAUGCGGAACAAUAGUUGGAAAUUUUACGGCAAAUCGAUGAAACGACGGGGAAUCUGGUGUGUAUAUAAUGUUGCGACGACGACGGUCGGUAUCUGUUAGGGCUCUUGCUAUUGCUCGGUACUCGAUGUACUCGCUCGAUCGAGAUCAAAGUGUAUUCGAACACGUGUAUCCAAAUAUUCUGGUAUUCGAUAGAAGUCCGAAUAACCAAAUAUUCAAUUUAUACCAGAAUAAUCGAGAUACUCAAACUCAAUGCUCUAUUCAAACCCGAGAUGAAGUAUCCAAAUUUUGAUACUUUCGUCGCUGGAAUACAAUUUUUAUUGCCCGAGUACCGACAUCGUUUGCGGAUCGGUGUACCGGGAUGUUCACUCUCAAUCGAAAGAGAAAAAACUUGAGAAGUUCCGAAGCUCUAGAUACAAUGAGUGUGCUCCAAGUACUCGGGUACUGGAGAGCCCCAGGUGUCAAUGGGUCAAUGUACUCGAGAAUUAAGACCCGGUGGAUUUUUAAGGUUGGAACAGAAUGCUUUGUGCGUUGUCUUAACAGAGAAUAAAAAUGAACUAUUAAUAAUAAGGGAGUAUCCUUUAAUAUAUAAUAAACAGAUAAGAUCAACAUAGCGAAUUUAUCGGCGCUAAGGAGCAAAAUACAUAUACACAGCAACGAUACAUAUGAAUCAUAUAGGACCAUGUUUUAUGUAUGUACAUAAUAUCUUUAACAACAACAACAAGAAAAAAAAAAGCUACCCACAAGCAUAUAUAUUAAUUGUAAAUAAUGUAAGUGUUGUCGAUGGAACGUUAAGAUAAACAACAAAUGAUUGAGGGAGCUCGACAUAUAUUAUUAUUAUUACUAUUAUUAUUAUUAUUAUUUAUUGAUUAUUAUUAUAAAAUAUACUGUAUAAUUGUAACGUUGAACGGGACUACGUUUUAUACGACACACAGUGUAAGCUAGUCUCAGAAUGUAACAUACCGAAGCUGAUAAAAGACAGAACAUUUAAUCGUGUUUAUCUGUAAGUGAAUGUGGAAACUUGCUCGUUCUUUAGAUUUCUCACAACGAACUUCGAAAUCGGUUUUAUCCUCGAAAAAGGGAGCCAGUGUUUCUGCACACGUUCAACGCAUUGACUGGUGCAUCGGAUAAAAUGUAUAAUGAAAUUUUGUUCAAGUUUCGAGAAAAGUCAGACAAUCAAUUUUUUUUUUUAAUAUUAUUAACGAAACGAUUAUAUCGAAAAUUUGUUCGCAUGCGGUUCGAUCUUUAAACGAUGAGAAAUUUAAUAAAACAUGAUAAUUAAUUAAUUAAUUAAUUGUUUCUCACAUAUCGCUGAUGUGACAGUCAACGCGUUAACGACGUAUAAUGGAACCUGCGUUAUUUUUAAUAACGGCUUAAUCAACAAAUUGUAUCGAUUGAUGUAAAAAUUUAUUUGUAGAAUAAGAUUUCUUGAUCUUUGACCAUAGGCCUUUCUCCAUCCGUAAUAAUUUUAAAAAAUUUAUCGAAGUGCAUUUAAUAAACACGUUUAAAUAAUCUCCGCUUGUUAAAUUUUUUUAACGUAAAUUUGAUUGUAACCACGAAGAAGGCCAUGGCACAGGAGAUCUUAUAAAUUCGACAAAUUAAUACAAAAAAUAAUUACUGAUUGCAUAUCGUUUUAAUCAACAAAAAUUUUUUUGUAAAUAAUGAAGAAUUUCAACAAACUAAUGUAUUGAUUUCAUUUGAUUAUAAAAUAUGCAUACUUGGUACUUUUGUAUUAUGCAUGAAUGCAGAUGAAUAAAUUUAAUUGUUAACUUACCUCCACAUUCUUUCAUGAAACGUUCAUGUAUAGUGAAUUUAAAAGUGUGGAAACGUAACGAAGCAAAGCCAUCAAGGCAAAGGGAAUAAAGUUUUUCAUUCAAUUAUUAAUGGUAUGAAUAGCUUCUCUCUUCAGCUUUUCAUGUGUAUGUUCUAUUAUUGUGUGCUACAACAAGUGUGAGCGAAACAGACCAUGUUAUGCAACAAAGCACCUAAUUGCACAAUUACGCUUGCUUGCAGAACUCUUUAUUUUCUGUUGAUUUCGUCUUGGACUUUAUUAAAAUUAAACAGCGAAUAGUAUUCACAAGAAAAAUAAACCACCCACAGCAAUAAUAGUGAUGUAAUUAUGUCUCUGUCUUCAUCUUUUGUAUAUUCGAAUUGUGAAUAACUUGCCUUCGACACGAUACAACCAUAGAGUAACAGUUAGCAUACAGUUUAAAGAUAUCUAUAGAAUAAACUGCGGUAGAGAACGAGCAUGAUGUACGAUGCUAUUAACUUCAGACAAUAAAAUGUUAUUAUCGAUGUUACCUCAU